GUAAGAUCAGCUAAUGAAGCUACUGGGCCCAUACCCCAAAAAUGUGAGUUAACCCCCACUCUCACUA
rnacentral:tRNA from 1 species